AGUGAACGCUGGCGGUAGGCCUAACACAUGCAAGUCGAACGGCAGCACAGUAAGAGCUUGCUCUUACGGGUGGCGAGUGGCGGACGGGUGAGGAAUACAUCGGAAUCUACUUUUUCGUGGGGGAUAACGUAGGGAAACUUACGCUAAUACCGCAUACGACCUACGGGUGAAAGCAGGGGAUCUUCGGACCUUGCGCGAUUGAAUGAGCCGAUGUCGGAUUAGCUAGUUGGCGGGGUAAAGGCCCACCAAGGCGACGAUCCGUAGCUGGUCUGAGAGGAUGAUCCGCCACACUGGAACUGAGACACGGUCCAGACUCCUACGGGAGGCAGCAGUGGGGAAUAUUGGACAAUGGGCGCAAGCCUGAUCCAGCCAUACCGCGUGGGUGAAGAAGGCCUUCGGGUUGUAAAGCCCUUUUGUUGGGAAAGAAGAGCAGCAGGUUAAUACCCCGCUGUUCUGACGGUACCCAAAGAAUAAGCACCGGCUAACUUCGUG
rnacentral:rRNA from 1 species